ACGGAGUGUUGCGCUGAAAUUGAGAUUAGCUUGCUAAAGGAAAUUUCUUGUAACACUUAGUGGCGGACGGGUGAGUAACGCGUGAGGAACCUGCCUUACAGAGGGGGACAACAGUUGGAAACGACUGCUAAUACCGCAUGAUGUGGAGGGGAGACAUCUCCCUUUCACCAAAGGAGCAAUCCGCUGUAAGAUGGCCUCGCGUCUGAUUAGAUAGUUGGUGGGGUAACGGCCUACCAAGUCGACGAUCAGUAGCCGGACUGAGAGGUUGAACGGCCACAUUGGGACUGAGACACGGCCCAGACUCCUACGGGAGGCAGCAGUGGGGGAUAUUGCACAAUGGGCGAAAGCCUGAUCCGGCGACGCCGCGUGAGCGAUGAAGUAUUUCGGUAUGUAAAGCUCUAUCAGCAGGGAAGAAAACGACGGUACCUGACUAA
rnacentral:rRNA from 1 species